UCUCUGUGUCUCUCUCUGAUGGUGAUGAUGUCGUUCUGUGGCGGAAGCCAUGAAGAAGAGUCGACCACCUCUGUGUACGAGGACUACUCAGAAACUCCAACACCAGACUAUGACUACAGCGCCACCUUCGACUACUACUUCGUGACCGGUCUGUAUCCUCCUGCUGC